GCGCAUCCCUCCUCUCGCAGUUUCCCACGCCUCCUCGGGGCAUAAUGAUAGUAGGCUACUCGAGUGCGGUAGAAAACCAUCCGCAUUGGAAGGCACAUUUUUUUUCAACUUCACACGGUCUUUGGGGGAUACCUCAGUAGACUGAGGCUGCAGUAUUGAAUAGCCUAUAACCGAAUGCAGUGCCUGUGCAUCACCACCAGAGGACCCCCCCCAUGCCUUCUAAGUGUUGGUGCAAUUUACUUUAUUGAGCCGCAGUUUUCUUUCUUUUCUUCCAAUCCUACUCCACACACCUCAAAAGUGUGCGUCUUCCCAUUUUCUGUCCGCUGACCUGAAAACCUGCAUCGGGGCGCAAGAGAGACUCAGCAGACAAAGACCCAGUAUAUCCAGACUGCAGUCAUGGCAACUGAAGGAGAAUCGAUGUUUCAUGAUCAAAGUGAUUUUGAAUAUGCUCUAAUCCAGCAGGCACCCAAAUACCAAAGACAGAGGUGCCUCCUCAAACAGUAUAGAUGAAGUGUGCAUGGAGGCGAGGGAGAGUCAUCAUGGGAGGUGCUGCAGAGAAGCCAACACACAUAAUAACACACACUCUCACAUUUAUGGUUGCCACACACCAGCACCCAUUGGAACAUCAAGUAUGGUGCACACCCAGCCCAUGCUGACCAGAAGAAUGACGGAAUUGUCAUUCUUGAUUUAAAUAAAAAUGUAUAUCAAGCCAAGAUGAAGAUGUUACUCUUAACCGUCUUUGUGACUUGUGUAUUAGGUGCUAUCAAUCUACCUUGCCCAGGAGAGAAUGUAAAGUAGCCUUCAGUGCUGAUUUGGGGUUUAUCCUUACCCCAAUCGGCACCAAAAGCACCUAAAAGCAAAAAAACAUACCUGGCGCAAGAUCACCUUUCAGGUGCACUGUAAAUCUAUAUCAUGAUAUGGGUAGUGUUGAAACAGAACUGAAUGCUAUGCUCUCUCUGUUCCUUGUUUUUGACUUCAUGCACACCCAAGAAAGUUGAUUGCAUGUCUCAUUUUACUGUAUAGUACUCUCAAUGCACUUUAGAAAUCUACAACUUUAUCAUCCAGUUGUGAGAGAAGUCUUUUACAUUUAGGAUUUCACAUUGGACCUGUAUCAAUAACCUCAAGCAUGAAUUAAGAUAUCAACCCAACCCCAUUAUCCCACUGUUCUACUGAUGGUUGGCUCAGGAUCUAUCUGCUGUCAUUUUUGAUGGCACUAAGUGGACUGGCGUGUGUGGUUGUGUUCUAGGUAGCAAUGAGAAGGAUGUCAACCCCAUGUCAGAUGUUAAUUUGAAACAGAAGCAGGAAUGAAGUCUCCUGUCAUUCUCUGGGGUCUGUAAGAGGGUGCCACCAGUAUAGUAUUGUAUGCCAACAGCCUUUUUCUUUCUCCUAUUGCAUUUUAAGUUACAUUGCACGAGUAGAAUCAUUCAAAGCACUAAAAAGGUAUUACCUUGGGUGUGAAGAAGCGGGCAUUUUAAAAGUGUAUGAGUUUAAGCUUCAUGAAAAGAUCAAUACAUUAAGAUAAGAAGUCACAGGAACUAGCUGCAAAUAAACUGUCUGUAUUAUCAUUAUUUAGAGCUGUUUCUAACUUGCUGCAAGUACAAUGUCUGCUAUCUUCAGAUAUUUUUAUUUUACCGGUAUGCAGCACUAGUAAUGGCUGAUACUGAGCCAAUGGCGUAACAGUUAACCAAAAGCAAAUGAGUGAUUCUCACCAGAGCUAACCAAUAAGACAGCUGCUGCAAUAAAAAUCACCCUGUAUACAAUG